rnacentral:pre_miRNA from 1 species
AUAAAACAUAGAGAGGACGAAACACAGACGAGUACAUUCUUUCAAAGAAUGUACUCGUCUGUGAAAGAAUGUACUCGUCUGUGUUUCGUCCUCUCUAUGUUUUAU